GCCCAGAUCGUUUACCGUGAAAAAAUUAGAGUGUUCAAAGCAGGCAGAUCCAAUUUUCUGCCACCGAAUACAUUAGCAUGGGAUAAUGGAAUAGGACCCUGUCCUCCUAUUUUCAGUUGGUUUUGGCAGCGCGAGGACUAGGGUAAUGAUUAAUAGGGAUAGUUGGGGGCAUUAAUAUUUAAUUGUCAGAGGUGAAAUUCUUGGAUUUAUGAAAGAUUAACUUCUGCGAAAGCAUCUGCCAAGGAUGUUUUCAUUAAUCAAGAACGAAAGUUAGGGGAUCGAAGACGAUCAGAUACCGUCGUAGUCUUAACCAUAAACGAUGCCGACCAGCGAUUAGGAGACGUUGAAUACAAAACACCACCAUCGGCGCGGUCGUCCUUGGCGUCUCGGUCCUUCACGGGGCCGGGGCGCGGGGGCGGCUUAGCCCGGUGGCACCGGUGAAUGACUCCCCUAGCAG
rnacentral:rRNA from 1 species